UGAUUUAUGGAUGGUAAACAGUUGGCAGAAAAAGACAAGACACUGACGAGAGUAGGCAAAGACGUGGUAAACGCCCAUUUCUCUUGCAAUAUUUCUAACACCAUCGGCUCUGAGAUCAGUCUGCCUGUUCAACAAAUCUGCUAUAAGCCCGUUUUUCCCUGAAACAAUGACAGAAAUCUGGCUUUUACUGGGUUGUGGAGCAGUUACUCUUCUGAUCAUCCUAAUUGUCAUCGUUUGUUGUGUCAGCACCAGACCAAAAGAGCAUGUGCUGCCAAACGAGGGUUCUGCUGCUGACACACAGUCUGGCAAUGCGUCCAAUCAAAGGCUCUGGACCUUCAUGAAGAUAUAUAUGAAUCUCCAGUAAGUGUUCCUCAACCUCACCCCCACCUACCUCAGGCUCCUUCUCCAUCAGAGAGGUGAUGCUCUGGGUAUUUAAAGCCAGUGUUACUAGCCGGAGAUCGGACCAGAGCCUCCACCCCAAACUGCUGCCGAACACCUGCAAUAGCUCCUGUUGGUGGUCGGUCCACCAGAGAUUAAUUUUAAUAAUAAUUUCUAAUUUAACAGUCAUUUUAUUUUUUUAAUACAAAUUUUUGAAUAUGAUGGCACAUAAAGGUCUUUAAAUGUAUGAAAUGUGUAUGUAUGUCUGUAAAUUAUUGAGUGACCUGUACAGUGAUUGAUUUACAUCUUAAGAUGUAUGUUUUAUCUUUGUUUUAAUUAAGUUAAAUUAAGUUAAAUCAUUGUUACUUUUUCUGACAUUAAACAUAAGUAAACAAGUAAUAAAACACAGAUUUAGAUUUUUUUUAAUGCAAAAAAAAUUGGAUAAUUACAAGUGUGCCUAAUUUAGCAGUUUCUGUCUAUUUUAAAAUGUAAACUGUGACGUGUAUAUAAAUAAAAUGAAUGGGUACAC
ensembl:lncRNA